GAAGGGGCUCUCAAGGAUGGAGGCAAGCACCACACCUCUCUUCCUCUUCUGCACCCCCUCCCACACACACGCCACUAAGAGCAAUUUUAGGUUCACAGCAAAAUUGAGAGGAUGAUACAAAGAUUUCCCCUGUGCCACCACAGAAGCAUAGCCUCCCAGACUAGCAUAUCUACCCACCAGAAAGGCACAAGAAAUUUGUUUCCUGAAGAAAGACUGGCAAACUCCCUCAUUUGAAAAAUUUAAACUUCUACAAAAAGAGACUGUUUUGAUGAAGGAUAAACAAUAUUCACUAUUGUGAAUAAACAAAUUUCACAAUAAACAAAAUUCAC